GAGACACCCUAUGGGGCAGGACUUGCUUCAGUGGGGCUUUGGCGCUCACUGAGUCUGCUCCCUGAGUGUCUCU
rnacentral:pre_miRNA from 1 species